UCUCUCUCUCCCAGAGCGCUCACCACAACUGUAAUUAAAUAGUUGUGUCUUUGGCUGUUCUGUGUCUUGUGUUCCCACAGGAACAUAAGCUCCAUGAGGACAGAGACGGCGUCUGUCUUCAUCCAGGAUGAGUCCCCAGCUCCUGGCACAUAGUCGUUGCCGGACUCUCUGUUCCUGUAUCUACUGUGAACUCUCCAGCAGGCCCCAAACACCGGGGAGCACUCCCACCUUCCAGAAACCCCCACCCUCUGUUUUUCCUCUCCCAGAUUCUGUCCUCAGCCUGGGUCUUGUUUUCCACGGGGGUUCAAUUUCUGCCUUCCACGCGGACCUCCCAGGUCCUGGCCACGAUGACUCUUGAGAGCUCCCGAGCCAAAGGGUCUUGGCAGACGGCGGCAUCAUGGGACCCAAAGUUUAUAUGUGACUUGUUUUUUCCCCAGUGUGUCCUUUUGCUGUGCCCUCAGGGUUGGCAAGGGCCGGUGGGGCGCAGCAACGAGUUAGGGGGUGCUACGCAAGCUUCAUCGGGGUUGAGUCCUCACAGGCUUCACCAAUGUCAGAGAAACAGCCAGAGCCCCCCUUCUCCCAGAGCCACUUCUCCCUCUACCCUCCAUCCCCUGCAAUCACAUAGGUCUUCAUGCUCUAUACGUGCAAAGUGAUGGCCUCACUCUGCCCAAAGACCGUCUCCUACCAGAGGGAGGAAGAACAGAGACGAAGCGGACAGAAAAUUUCUUCCCGCCAACGAUGUGCAAAACAUAGAAGGCAUUCUAGAGAUAAUCUGUCUCCCUUGACCUACAUCAAUACAGACUGUGUGUGUG